rnacentral:rRNA from 1 species
CGGGAAGCAGAAUCUUCUGGAAAGUUGAACCACAGAGGGUGACAGUCCCGUAAGCGAAUCUUGGCGGUCUCUCGAGGGGUACCUGAGUAGGUCGGGUCACGUGAAACCCCGACUGAAUCCACGGGGACCAUCCCGUAAGGCUAAAAACAACCUGAUGACCGAUAGUGAACUCAGUAUGGCGACUGAAAGAUGAGAAGAACCCCUGCUAGGGGAGGUAUGUGAACCUGAAACCAUACGCUUACAAGCGGUCGGA